rnacentral:misc_RNA from 1 species
GAUGAAGAACGUAGCGAAAUGCGAUAAGUAGUGUGAAUUGCAGAAUUCAGUGAAUCAUCGAAUCUUUGAACGCACAUUGCGCCCCUUGGUAUUCCAUGGGGCAUGCCUGUUCGAGCGUCAUUUGUACCUUCAAGCUCUGCUUGGUGUUGGGUGUUUGUCUCGCCUCUGCGUGUAGACUCGCCUUAAAACAAUUGGCAGCCGGCGUAUUGAUUUCGGAGCGCAGUACAUCUCGCGCUUUGCACUCAUAACGACGACGUCCAAAAGUACAUUUUUACACUCUUGACCUCGGAUCAGGUAAGGAUACCCGCUGAACUUAAGCAUAUCAAUAAGCGGAGGA